GAAUUGAUAAUUGGAUAAGAUGACAGGCUCACUAGAUAUCUUGGGAGAUGAUGGACGGACCGGGUCCAUAGGGAACCCUACUGGGAACGUUGUCUCAUACUGGACGGGGUAUGGAGACUUUAAAUAUUUUGGCACUCAUAUCGGACGAGGUUUGGGGACGGCCCGCUUCACCCUCAUACCGGACGGGGUAUUGAGGUUUAUUAU
rnacentral:lncRNA from 1 species